AUUGAACGCUGGCGGCAGGCUUAACACAUGCAAGUCGAGCGGAGAUGAGGUGCUUGCACCUUAUCUUAGCGGCGGACGGGUGAGUAAUGCUUAGGAAUCUGCCUAUUAGUGGGGGACAACAUUCCGAAAGGAAUGCUAAUGCCGCAUACGUCCUACGGGAGAAAGCAGGGGAUCUUCGGACCUUGCGCUAAUAGAUGAGCCUAAGUCGGAUUAGCUAGUUGGUGGGGUAAAGGCAUACCAAGGCGACGAUCUGUAGCGGGUCUGAGAGGAUGAUCCGCCACACUGGGACUGAGACACGGCCCAGACUCCUACGGGAGGCAGCAGUGGGGAAUAUUGGACAAUGGGGGGAACCCUGAUCCAGCCAUGCCGCGUGUGUGAAGAAGGCCUUAUGGUUGUAAAGCACUUUAAGCGAGGAGGAGGCUACUGAGACUAAUACUCUUGGAUAGUGGACGUUACUCGCAGAAUAAGCACCGGCUAACUCUGUGCCAGCAGCCGCCGUAA
rnacentral:rRNA from 1 species